CAUCAAUCAAAGAAAAGGGCUAAGCAAAAACUGUUUUCAUCACUUUGAUUUCUUUGCUUCAUUUUGAAGGUACCAUUUUCUUCUUGUUCAUUAAUUCUUGAAAUUUAGUUAUUUUAGAAUCCAUGAAGAUUUCAUUUUUUGAGUAAGUAAGACAAAGGGGUUUUAAGGUUUUGAUUGUUAAUUGCCAUAUAUAGACUUGUGAGCUCUUUAGAUUUUUUUCAUUAAUGUAGUUGAUGUCACUAGAUUCUUUGAAGUUAGAAGCAAUAGAAAAACUUUUUUUUUGGUUUUGGUUUUUUCAGAUUAUCCUUGAGCUAGAUAGGGUUCUGUGCAACUUGUUUAACAAUGUUGUUGGUGAUUUGAAAUUCAAAAGCA
rnacentral:misc_RNA from 1 species